rnacentral:rRNA from 1 species
GGACCGGAGUGGACGCAUCACUGGUGUUCGGGUUGUCAUGCCAAUGGCACUGCCCGGUAGCUAAAUGCGGAAGAGAUAAGUGCUGAAAGCAUCUAAGCACGAAACUUGCCCCGAGAUGAGUUCUCCCUGAGACUUAGAGUCUCCUGAAGGAACGUUGAAGACGACGACGUUGAUAGGCCGGGUGUGUAAGCGCAGCGAUGCGUUGAGCUAACCGGUACUAAUGAACCGUGAGGCUUAACCUUAC